rnacentral:rRNA from 1 species
UAUAAUUUAAAGUAGGGCCUGCCCACUGAUAUUUGUUGAAGGGCCGCAGUAUUUUGACUGUGCAAAGGUAGCAUAAUCAUUAGUUUUUUAAUUGAAAGCUUGUAUGAAUGGUUUGAUGAAAAAAUAACUUUCUUUAUUUUAAUUUUAAAAAAUUUUAUUUUUAAGUUAAAAAGCUUAAAUAAUUGUAAUAGACGAGAAGACCCUAUAGAGUUUAAUUUUUAUUGAUUAAUAAUUUUUUAGUAUUUAAAAAUUUAUUUUUCAUAUGAAAUUUGAUUGGGGUGAUUAUAAAAUUUAAUUAACUUUUAUUAUUUAUAAAACAUAAAUUUAUG